rnacentral:ncRNA from 1 species
CUACCCCGCGUGGGAGAGUCCUGCCAGCUCCACCGCCUCAUGAGUCGCCGUUCCGUCGGCGACCGGCCGGCGGGGGCGGCGGGCGCCGAAGGGGCAACCCUCCCCGGAACCUCUCAGGCCAACGGACCGCGCGGGCGAG